UCAGCAUCCCCACAGAGGCAAGCACUGGACAGAAUUGGAUGGACUUUGUUUUCAAGCCAGCAAAAGCCAAAUAAGGCAGUGUACGUUUGUUCACGCCACUUCACAGAGUGCUGUUUACUAAUCAAGUCAAAGUACGAAGCUGGCUACGGAUGGUGCCGUUCCAUCAAUACAAGGUUGUGUGGGGGACUCGAAGCACAAGCCUAUAUCACAACAUAUGCCUUCAACUGCAAAGCUUCCUGAAAAAGAAGAGACAAUGCAUUGCAAAUCCUGUGGAAAGGAAGCAAAAAAAUUCAAGUGUGUCAAUGACGUGAUGGGGCCUCUGAGGAGGUGUUGGAGGAGCCCUGCAGAUACACAGAUGAGCUCAAACAAAUCCCCAUCCCAGAAAACCUCUGUGCCCAGUUCCAGAGACCGUCAAAGGAAAAGGUCAUUACGAAAAAAGACAACGUAUCUGGCAUACAACACAAGACAGGAUGACGAUUCUCAUACGUCUUCCCAGAUUUCGCUGAAUCCAGUGUGGAAAUUCACAGAUGAAGACAAGUAUGACCUGUGAAUCGUGUUAGGGGUUUGCAGUAAAAGUAGCCUGUUUGAGUAGUACUUUACAUUUAAGCAGUAAUUGGGUUAUAUAAUUAUAGAACAGAUUUGUGAUAAUGUAACUGCAGUUACUACGUGCAGCUACUAUGUGCACUAACAUUCACCACCUGAUAGAAAGUGCUGAUAUUUUCUCAUUCAGCAUUUUUCAAACCUUCGAAAUUUUUAACACCUUUUGGACUUCUGCAGUUUUUUGGGUGAAAAUAAUGCAAAAGUAGUGUUAUGCAUUACUCUGUACAGGAAGUAAUAUUGUAAAGAAACUUCCCUUUAAAUUGACAGUUACUAGUGUUAUGUACUGCAUAAUAUUUUGGAAGUUAG